GUCUGCAUAUAUAACCCAACCUCCGUCUUCUCCACGUUCCCCUUACCCAACUGCUAUAAAUACACCUGCUCUGCCAUUACCUCUUCCCCACUUCUCUCUCAACAAACUCUUUUCACUCUCUUAGGUUUCUCUGUGUUGAGGAUGAUGAUAUAGAAUUAAGAAAAAGUAGAGAAGAAUCUGUUAAGCUCAGGAGGGAUAGCGCCAUGGCGGGUCUUGAAUCUUGAUCUUCAUUUGCGCUAUCCAUCCUGAGUUUCACUGCUUCUUCUUACUCUCUCAGCCUCUAACCUGCAGAUUCUUAUUUGGGCUAUAAUAUCUCCACGUCUCCACCACAAUUUCAUUCCACAACUCUCAUUAUUAUUCAUGGUUGUCUGUGUUGGUUAGCAACUUCAAAAUUCGAGAGAAAACCCAUAAACAUCUUGGCAAUUAAAGAUGUAAAAAGACAAGUAAUAGAGUAAGAUAGAAGAAGAAGAGGAAGAAGAGAAAUGAGAAACCCAUCAUAAUGUUGAAGAUUAUGAAAGAUAGAUUUUGUACUUUUGGUACUGUAUGACAUUGAAUGAGAAACAAAUGAGCGUCAUGUGAAGUGUUAUAAUUGCCUCUGCCUUGGGGGGUUAAUCCAUGCAAAAUAAUAUCUCAUUAAUGUUUCCCAUGAGUACUUUAAUGGGGGGUUUUGUUAAACUAAUGAAGGAAGCUUCAAGUAUAUAAGCCAAAGGGAGACAAGAGAUGAGUUGCAGCAGCCGGAAGUCAAGCAAAAGGGUUUCUCCUCUUGUAGUUUGAGCCUAUAUAAAACGCUCUAAAUCUUCACGUGCCUUACUUGUUAAAUCAUUUUUCUUUUUAUAAUAUCUAAACUUGUAGUAUUAAUGAAGUUUAUACAAUGUAUUAAUAGAUGAA